ACUGCCCAGCUUGCACAGCAUUUGAAAGAAGUGACAAAGACCCUGAACGCUGUUGCAUCAUUUUAAUCCCCACACUGAAUUCUAAAUAAUAAAAUCCUGUGCGACUAAGACUGCAACCGGUCCCCUAAAAAAAAAGACGUUCCUUAUUAUAUAUAGAUGUGUGGACCUGUUGAGUAUAGUGGCGUGCUAAGGAAAAGUUGUGACUAUAUCGCCAACUUGUUGAUAGUGAGUGCUAGAGUUGUCCAGUAAGCGAGCUUUUAAUAGUUUGCCCUACACUUUCCAUAAGUAAACACUAUGGAAAAAACAGACGACACGCCACCCAAUACUAGCUCUAUAAAAACAGAAAAAAGGAUGGUUACCAUCAAAUGUAGCGUGUUGAAAUCAAAGUGCCUUUCAGUCGUUGUCUUUUGCUCAAAUACCAUUUGAAAAUUAACGUAAUA